GAAACACGCAAGUGUCUGAAACAUGUGCAAAUUUUUCCAUUUCUUAACCUAUUAAAAUUUGUAAACCACGUUUAAGAUCAGUGUUUAUAAUUCUUGUAAUAGUUUAUUUCUACGAAAUAUUAUAAAUGACAUACUUCAUAAUUGUACUGUGAGUGUAAAAUAAGUUAGGUUAUCCAUUCAAAUUCAAAUUGUUAAAAGACGAAAAACAUUGACGAUGAAGUCCGAUGAAAUUAUAUGGCAACGUGUACCGAAUAAUGUCGCAAGCAGAAUGAUAGGUCAGUCUUUAAUACAUAAAUUAAUACCAUGUAGAAAGGUACAACGAAGGACCAAGGCAAUGAAUACAGCAAUAAAACAUGCUCAGAAAUUGAAAACCUACAGUACAUAUAUUAAAAUGAGGACUUCUGUACUAAGAGAUUUAUCAGAAGAUAGCGACACAGAUGACAAUAUUAGUUUCACAGAGGAUGACUACAGUAUUUUGUAUCAAUCCGAUUUAUCUUUUAAAGACUAUAUGACAAGGAGGUCUAUAGGAAAUGUGGACUACUCCAAUGCAGCAGAAAUGGGUGUUGAAGAAAAUAAUGUUGUUUCUAACAUGGUAAAUGGAAAUGAAAAUACCAAAAAGCCAAAGAAUAAGAAAUCUUCCAGACUUGUGAAAUUAGGUUGGCAUAAAGUUGUUAGGAAAAAGAAUACAAGCAUUUCUCCUUCUGACAAAACAUAUAGUGAUACAUGUUCACCUAAUAGUUCAGUUUAUUCUCAAAGAGUCAGUAGACAAAGAGAUGAGCAUGACAAUUUAAAUGAAUCUAAUAAUAAUGAAUCCUCUGCAACUUGUAUCAAGAAAGAUACUCCAAUCCAAAAGAGUAAAGUAUUGAGGAAUAAAAAAAAACAUGACUCAGAGAAAAGUAUAGACUUACAUAUUAAGACAACAGAUUCCAAUAAGGUAGAAUGCAGUACUACUACUCCAAGAAAAAGAAGAAGAAACAUUAAGUCUGUGGGAGAAACAAAUUCUAUAACAAAUGAUAUCAAUACAGGAUUUCAAUCAGAAGAAGGUUGUGCAGCAGGAAAAAAUAUAAAAGAAAAUUUGAUACCUCUAGAGAUCAAUGACAAUGUAGUUCAAGAGAAUAACAAACCUUUGACAAAUGCAGAAAUACACUCAGAUCAGAAUCAUUCUGAUUGUCCUGAUCAACUUUCAAUAAAUCAAGAAAACAAAAAUGGCAAAAGUUAUCAAAUUCAAUCUUUGCAUGUUGGCAGCACAAAUCAACCAAAAGAUUCAGGCAUAGAAGAAGAUACAGAAGAAGAAUUUCCAGAAAACAAAAUGUGUAUGGAAAUAAAAAAAGAUACACAAGAAACUUGCCAAAGUAUGCAAAUUACCUCUUCUAUUGUGGAUGUUCAAAGUAACUCUGAGGUAGAAACAAGCUUGACAAUCUGUGAUGAUAAACAGAUUGAUCAUACAUCAGAUAAUCAUGAUUUAUCAGAGAAAAUGGUGAUUGAUGAUCAUAAUGAUUCAAAUGAAACUAUAAUCGAUAGUCAUGAUACAUCCGAUAAAAUAGUAUCCAGUACACAUGAUGCAUUGAAUGAAAUAAUAUCAGAUAGUCGCGAUACACCAAAGAAAAUGGAACUUGAUAGUCAUGAUACAUCAAAUGAAAUGAUAUCUAAUAGUCAGAAUACAUUAGAUGAAACAAUAUCAAAUGGUCAGGAUACAUCAGAUAUAGAGAUACCCAGUGAUCAUAAUACAUCAGAUGAAAUUGAUAUUCAAGACACAACAUUAUCUACACCUAAAAAUGUAAAAAAUAGCAAAGAGAAUCAGGACACACUACAAAGACAGAGACUGCAACCUAAAGUUACUCAUUCAGAGAUCAUUAAGAAGAGGUACAGAAUCAUUUCAUGCAAUGAAUCAUUACCAAAUGAUUGUACAGACACAGAAUUAAACAUGAUAUAUGAUAGCGACGAGGGAAUGUUGAAAUCUGUGGAAGCAGGUGAAAACAUCGAUGAUAGUAUGUCUCCCGUUACCGAACGACGUUUGCAGCAAUUGAGGAGAUUAAAUUUGACUAUCGAUAGCGAGUCUAGUGAGGAUGAUGAUACUUACAGUAACACAGAAAAUAUGAGAGACAAGUUACUGAAACGAUCUGAAGCAUCCUCAAGUUCAUCAAGCAAUGAAAACGAAAAUGUAGAUUUCAAUAGCACAAAAUUGACACAAUAUAAGAAACCAAAGGAGAGCAAUAAUUAUAAAGAUAAAAAACAUAGAAAGGAAACGUAUGCAUCGCGAAUUAAAACACAUGAAAAUUGUGUAAAAAGGAAAAACUCGUUUAAUAACAAAGAAUCUGAUCUAUCCUUAAAACUUUCAGAUACUGAUGACAAUUUUUUCAAGCAUACACAUACGAGUUCUCCUAAAAAAGAUUUGCAUACAACAUUCAAUCAUAGUCAGAAUACUUCAGAAAAGUCUUCAAAGAGGAUUACAAGUUGUCCAGAUAAUAAAAGCAGCAGUUCUGAACAAUGUUCGAAAAUCAAAGACAAAUCGUUUUUGGAUAAUGACGAAAACGAUCGAAAUUUAGAAAUUGAGAAAACUGUGGUUGAAUGUUCAGCAAUGCGCAGUAGACCAUGCAAUAUAGAGGAAUUCAUAAAAGAGGAAAACUUAGUCAAUGAAAUAGGCGUACCUUCUUUUGUAUUUAAAGAUAUACAUGAAGAUGAUAUCUUUCUCUUAGACAUUCCAUCUAUGGUGGUUGACACACAAUUGAUAGGAAAGAAAAUAGUCUUAACAGAAAAAAAAUUAAAGCUUGGAAACCACAAGUACAAAAUCACAUUGAAAGAUGUAGAUCACUUAUCCUGUGUCUUUAGUACUGGUAAAUCUCGAAAGCCCUAUAAAACAGUUAAUAUCAAACCAGUGACGAGAAUCGUGGCACGCCAAAAGAUAUUUGAAGAGCCAGUCUUGAAAUCAAAUCAAUGUACAAACGACGUAGUAAACUAUAUCGAAGACAUCAGCGCAAGUGAAACUAAUACAGUUUCUAUAAAGAAACAUCAUAAGAGCAAGCAUAACCUUUCGUUAAAAAGAAAGCGAUUGAAAAUGAUUGAAUAAAAAUAUACAUGUGAAGCAACAAGACUUAAAUUGAGGGACAGAUGUGCCAUUUACUUUUCAACCUUGAAAGUUUUUAAUCUCUUUCAAGUAAGAUUCGAAAAUGUCUAAUCGUCACGUGCAGUCGACUGGCGACGGUUGUUACCGAUUAGUGCCGAAAUCAAACGAAAAUAAAGUAACCAAGUAACAGCUGUGUCAAGUUAA